UUUAGUAACUUAUCCUAAGACCCAGGCUAGGAAGUAGAAUUUAAAUUUAGUCAAUUUGAUUUUCAGUGUACUUUGCCUUAUUCAUGUCAUAAGUAAAACAUUUCUUCAGCAAAAAGAAACAGACUUUUGUAGGAUCAAUUAGGUUCAUUCACAGUAAUCAUCACUCUGCUUGUGUGGGUAGCACUGAGGCUCAUCUUGGGAGUGCAGAGCAUGUUGUUGACCAUGGGAUGACAUUCAUGAGGGUCUCCAGGAAUGAUGGGAGGUGAAAAGCAGUAUGUUCUCACCCAUGUGGCAGCACUGGUGGUAGACCACCCAGUCAGCAAACUAGCCACCAUGCCAACCAUGCUUCCCCAUGCUUCUCUCUAUUGUAGGAGAACUUCAGCGGUGGCAGAAAUUCUAGAGGUUUUUGGGGUGGUUAUCUGACAAAGAAAGUAGAAGAUGUCAUGCAUGGUUGGCACCAGGCUGUGAUCUCAGGGAAAGCUUUGGGGAACAAUCCCCAGGCUUUAAUGAGGGAGCCAAGGGGUAGAGAGGGCUGCACAUUUAUCCUAGAAGAAAUUCAAUGGUAUCUGAAUCGGCAAGCUGCCCAAGAUCACAUGGAACCUCAGAAACAUACCUAUGUAUGCUAGCAGAAAAAUGGAGCAAAGCAAGCCUCCACCACAAGCAUGGCAGGAAGUGCUGUCAGCUUUCUGUGAGCACCAAGGGAGGUGAAGCCAAGAUGAGAGGUCAUUGGCUUUAACUAAUGAAGAGGCUCAGAAACUGCUGAUUUAAAGAAGAAUAAUAAAAAUGCACCCCAGGGGACAUUUUAUUGCACUUAGAAAAU
rnacentral:lncRNA from 1 species